CCCCUAGAUGUUCUGGGCCGCACGCGCGCUACACUGAACAGUUCAACAAGUCUUAACCUUGGCCGAUAGGUCUGGGUAAUCUUUGAACGCUGUUCGUGAUUGGGAUAGACCUUUGCAAUUAUGGGUCUUCAACGAGGAAUUCCUAGUAAACGCAAGUCAUCAGCUUGCAUUGAUUACGUCCCUGCCCUUUGUACACACCGCCCGUCGCACCUACCGAUUGAAUGGUCCGGUGAAGCCUCCGGAUUGGCGCGCACCUCGGUGCCGCCGAGAAGUUGGCUAAACCUUACCAUUUAGAGGAAGGAGAAGUCGUAACA
rnacentral:rRNA from 1 species